rfam:Paenisporosarcina sp. HGH0030 genomic scaffold acAqH-supercont1.4, whole genome shotgun sequence.
AUUAGGGGAAGGAAGGCUAAAUUCCCGACAUCGUGUCGGAACGCCUUCAUGACCCACAUCCUGUGGC